GCCGUAGUUCAGUUGGUUAGAGCGUCAGAUUGUGGUUCUGAAUGUCGUGGGUUCGAGCCCCACCGG
rnacentral:tRNA from 1 species